rnacentral:rRNA from 1 species
AGAGUUUGAUCAUGGCUCAGAUUGAACGCUGGCGGCAUGCCUUACACAUGCAAGUCGGACGGCAGCACGGGAGCAAUCCUGGUGGCGAGUGGCGAACGGGUGAGUAAUACAUCGGAAUGUGUCCUGGAGUGGGGGAUAGCCCGGCGAAAGCCGAUUAAUACCGCAUACGCUCUGAGGAGGAAAGCGGGGGAUCUUUCGGGACCUCGCGCUCAAGGGGCGGCCGAUGGCAGAUUAGCUAGUUGGUGGGGUAAAGGCCUACCAAGGCGACGAUCUGUAGCUGGUCUGAGAGGACGGCCAGCCACACUGGGACUGAGACACGGCCCAGACUCCUGCGGGAGGCAGCAGUGGGGAAUUUUGGACAAUGGGCGCAAGCCUGAUCCAGCAAUGCCGCGUGUGUGAAGAAGGCCUUCGGGUUGUAAAGCUCUUUUGUCCGGAAAGAAAACCUCCUGGUUAAUACCCGGGGGGGAUGACGGUACCGGAAGAAUAAGCACCGGCUAACUACGUGCCAGCAGCCGCGGUAAUACGUAGGGUGCAAGCGUUAAUCGGAAUUACUGGGCGUAAAGCGUGCGCAGGCGGUCCGUUAAGACAGAUGUGAAAUCCCCGGGCUUAACCUGGGAACUGCAUUUGUGACUGGCGGACUCGAGUAUGGCAGAGGGGGGUAGAAUUCCACGUGUAGCAGUGAAAUGCGUAGAGAUGUGGAGGAAUACCGAUGGCGAAGGCAGCCCCCUGGGCCAAUACUGACGCUCAUGCACGAAAGCGUGGGGAGCAAACAGGAUUAGAUACCCUAGUAGUCC